CACAAUGCUAAUAAUGCAGGCUCACUAAAUCUGAUGACCAAUCAGGGACCUGAGAACAGUGUUGCUAUGACAACCCGGAGUCGCUUGACGGUUGGUCUCUGGAAUUGGCCUGGCCUGAGGUUGCCAGACCCUGGAAGCAGAGGCGAACUCAAGGCCAAAACUCUAAAGAUGUGAGAACUGCCCCAGGAUCUAUCUUGCAACCUGAGUGAGUCACUGUUUCCUGCCAUCUACACCACUGAGUCAAUUGGCCACUGAUGACAGCCCAGUCCUGUAUGCCACUGCGCAGUAAAGGGUUGACUUAGCAGACCUGGAUUGCUCAAACCCUGCACAUUCCAGACAGACCUGGCCAUUUCCCGUGAUUCUGGGGGAUCAUCUCUAAACCUUGGAAUGCCCUGCCUAGUAAAUCUUGUGUACCUGGUAGGCUAUGUCAACAAUAUUAGUGAUAGCAUGAACCUUAGGUCACACUAUCAAAUUGAUCUCUAGGGCAGCUGGAGACUAAGUUCAUUAAGUUAAGUUGCUAUAUGUUUCUGUUGCUGCUUUCCAAAUAAAAACCCUGGAGAAGCCAAACCUAGGGUGAUGUCCUCUUGUUUGACUUGUUUGUAUAAACUUCUCCUGGAAAGGAACAAAAUGUCUUCACCCAUGAGAGAGCACCCGGGAGAGACCAAAAAAAUUAUUCCAGGACGUUCAAAGUGUCUCAGCAUGUAAAGGAG
rnacentral:lncRNA from 1 species